UCUGUGGGGUGGUGUCAUCCUCUGUGCUCCUCCCUCCAAGGCUCCACAGCAGCCUUGUGACUUUUCUCCGUGAGGAAGAGGAUUUCCGCCUUUCAGAUGGGUUGACUCCGGCCCGUAGGAAAUCAGAUGAAGAGAGAGGGUUCUGUGACCUUUGAUGAGACAUGGCUGUGGACUUUAGUGGACCUUGCUCAGAAAAACCUAUACAGAGAUGUGAUGCUGGAGACCUACAAGAACCUGACCACAGUAGGGUAUCAACUGUUCAAACCCAAUCUGAUCUCUUGGUUGGAACAAGAAGAAGAGUUGAGGACAGUGAAGAAAGGAAUCCUCCAAGGAAAGAAGCCACAAUGGAUGUGAACUCUGUGAUUGUAAGGAAUGUGGAAAACACGUCAGUGAACAUUCAUGCUUCAAGACACCCAGGAGAACUCAAAAUGGAAAGAACACUUAUGUGGGUAGUCAGUAUGGAAAAAACUUCCUUACUCUGCACAAGAAAACCUCUACUGGAGAGAAACUUUCUGUGUUCAAUCAGUCUGGAAAAACUGUCAGCCUGACUCCAAAUAUUGUGUCCUGGAAAACUAGCAUGCAAGGGAAAGGCUUUGAAUGCAGUGACAGUCAGAAAGCCUUUGUUAAUCAGUCUUCCUUUCAGGCACAAAUGAGAAGUCACAAUAGAGAAAAACUGAUAAGUAUGGAAGGAAUGUGAGACAGCUUUUAUAUACUCCACAAGCCUUGGUUUAUGUGUACAAACUCACACUGCUAAGAAAGAUUACAUAUGUAAGGAGUGUGGGAAAGCCUACACUACGUGCUCAAGCCUUACUAGACAUAUAAAAACUCAUAUUGGAGAGAAGCCUUUUGAAUGUAAUAUGUGUGGGAAAGCAUUUGCUACUUCUUCAUACUUUACCAUUCACUUGUGUUCUCACACUGGAGAGAAACCUUGUGAGUGUAGGAAAUGCAGGAAAGCCUUCACUUUUAAGUCAAAUUUAAGCCAACAUGUAAGAAUUCAUACUGGAGAGAAACUCUAUAAAUGCAAUGAAUGUUGGAAAGCCUUCAUUAGGCGUUCAGACUUAACUAGACAUAAACAAAUUCACUCUGGAGAGAAAUCCUAUGAAUGCAACAAAUGUGGGAAAACCUUCAAUAUAUAUUCAGACUUAACUGAACAUAAACGAAUUCACACUGGAGAGAAACCCUAUGAAUGCAACAAUUGUGGGAAAGCCUUUAUUAGGCAUUCUCUCUUAACAUAAAUGGAUUCACACUGGAGAGAAACCCUAUGAAUGUAUGAAAUGUGGGAAAACCUUCAGUGUUUCCUCAAACCUAACUGCACUUGCAAGAAUUCACGCUGGAGAGAAACCCCAUAAAUGUAAGCAGUGUGGGAAAGCCUAUACUUUUUUGACAAGCCUAAGGAGACAUCUAAGUAUUCAUGCUGGAGAGAAACCUUUGAAUGUAGUGAGUGUGGGAAAUUCUUUACUCCUUCCUCAUAUCUGAGUACACAUUUGAGAAGUCACACUGGAGAGAAGCCGUUUGAGUCUAAGGUAUGUGGAAAAGCAUAUUUAUAUGCCUCAACAUUUUGCAUCCAUUUGUGAACUUACACUGGAGAGAAACCCUGUGAAUGUAAGCACUGCAGAAAAGCCUUCGCUAUUUCCUCAAGACUAAGCAAAUGUAAGAAUUCACACUGGAGAGAAACCCUAUCAGUGUAAGGAAUGUGGGAAAGACUUCACUUGGUCCUUGAUCCUUAGUAAACAUGUAGGAACUCACAAUGGAGAGAAGCCCUGUGAAUGUGAGAAUGUGGAAAAGCCUACAAGUGUCCAUAUUUGCUUUGAAUACAUGAAAGAACACUAAUUAGAUGCCUCAGGAACUUAAGCAAUGUGGCAAAGCAAUCAGAAUCUGCUACUAUACAGCAUGUAAGAAUUCAUGCUGAAGCCAUUAAAUGUAAGAAACAUGUAGUGCUCUAGCGUAUAGGGUGGAUCUAUAGAUGUGUUUUGAACAUGUGCCAUUCUGCCCUGAUCACUUUUGGGAAUGGUAUAGCAAUCCCCUGAUAGCAAUGCUAAACCAGCAGAGUUUCUACAUCUUCCAUGUUGCAGCCUGGCCAAAAGUGUGACUGCCAGAUUCAGAGUUACCUGGAUUCUGUUGUUGUAUUGUCCUGGUCUAAGAUGGUGAGCGUAGUGACUGCUUCAAUCAGUUCACUACUCACAGAGUCCAUCUACAGUGCCUCAUGCCACCCAAGGUGGGGGAUAUAAUAUGUCUCUGUAAAUUAUCUGGGAAUGUUUUUGUUCCUUUCUCACACCUGCUCCUUUUGGAUAAAAGGUCAGGGUCAAGCAAGGGAAGAGUUUAGAAAAAGUGAGGUUUUACCUACUAUUGGGAGACACCCUGAUUUCAUACCUGGGUGGGAAAACAACCACCUUAGCACCUGGCGGGGGGGGGGGGGGGUUUAACCUUAAGUUGUGCACAAAGAGGGUGAGAACAAUGAACGUUCUUUCAUCUUUGUAUCUAGCACCACAGCAUGGCGUAACAAUUGUGUUAUCUUUCCAGCUCAAAGAAGAGCUGCUGCUAGUGAUAUGACCUGCUUCUGUGUUUGUCAUUCCAUCCAUACGCUGUGAAAAUGGAGAAACUCGUGCAAAUAUGGCUAGUCCUGAUACUCUGCUGUGUAUGAUGCCAUCACUGACAUUUCCUGAUUGUGAAUCUUGGUCACAGACACAGACCAGCACAACCUCAUUGCAGCAUCAGUGAUACAAAUUCAUAUAGUUCUGAUGCUUGAGCAGCUGUGGGUUACAUCAUGGAUGUCCAUUAAUGCUGCAGCUGCUUCCUGAGAAUUUCUUGAGGCUUAAUCAAACCAUUGUAAUGAUAGUCCAAAUCAAGCUUAGCAAAUCCUGAACAGGAAGUAUCUGUGCGCCUUCUAUCUUGCUCCUACUCGUCUUUUUGAAUAUGCAACAAUACCUUGACCACUCUUCCCCGUGGCCAUUUCUUUGGGCUGGGGGGCGGGGAGGGGGGACAUUGGUGAGAAAGAUUGAUCCUGAGCCAACAUCUGUUGCCAAUUUUCCUCUUUUUGCCUGAGGAAGAUUGUCUCUAAGCUAACAUCUGUGCCCCUUGGCCAUUUCUUGCAAGUGUUUGCAGUGAGGAACACAAUUGUAGGGAGAUCAUCUCUCCCAUUGAGAUGAAGAGGAGACUUGCUUACUACCUGAAGUAAACUAGGUUCCACAACCUCAGCCUUCCUCUUCUGUAACACAGCCCAGUGUGCAGACAUCCAUAUGGCCCUUUGUGUCUGAGAGACAUGCUGCCGAAGAAAUGAAAACACGAACACAGGUUGCUGUGUAGUCUCUCGAGUUCCUCGAGCUCUUUAUUCUUAUAGCCCCUAAACAAAGCCACCCUUUUGCCAAAGCAGCGAGUCAGCGACCUAAGCCUGUGCAAGCAUCCCACAAUAAUGACCUUUCCCCUACCCAUCUGUUCAUAGGUUCCUUCAUAAUGUUUCAAACUCCCAAGGUCCCAGGCUUGCUCCUUUUGAGGAGCUGAUAAAACAUUCUUGUUUGCAAGCAAUGUUUUCCCUGGGGCCUUGUGAGUUCACCAGGCAGAACAUUCUGUUUGCAGAAAAGUCCAGCCAGUCUUGUGGAUGCCUCGCGUGCAAGAACAACCACAUUUCAAGCCAGGUCUCCUUCAGAGACAUAGGGACAAAGGUGACCAGUAUGAACAUGCUGAUGUUCAUGCGUUGGCUGUUCAUGAGUUAAAUAUCUGUCUCUGACUUCAGUGUCUCGGGUCCUCUGCCAACAUUCAUGAAAUAGUGAACAGUUAAUACCUUGGAAGAAGGGAGUGAUCAAACUACAGGUCCAACAGUUUUGGUGAUGAGAAUGGCAUGUUGAUAGAGACGUGACUUUCUGGAAGAACAAUAGUGCCAGGCUGGGUAUGAAGACAUAAGGGUAUCUGCAACCCAGUCAUGAAAUCUCCUCCCCCAGAGGUUUCCGCUUGAUAUGGACGAGCAGGGUGGGAAAUGGAUCCCCAGUGUCCUACUUCGUAAUGAAGCUCGUCAACAAGUACGUCAAUAACUAUAUCAGUUUUCCUUACUUUCUUAGUCUACUGUACCCUUAAUUUUUAAAUGUCUUAUACAUACUUAAUGUGGAAUUUUAAAAUAUCUAGGUAUCUGAAAUUGUCUUUAAAAUCCUUUUUUUUUUUGACCUGGAACAUUGUCCAUAAUGUAAUUACUAAUAAAUUUGGAUUUAUGUCUAGCUUGUAA